rnacentral:lncRNA from 1 species
UUUUGGCUCUCAGGCAUUUGGGGGCAGGACUCUUUCUAAAGUGUAUUAGACACUUACUGGCUUUCCUAAAUGAGUACAUAUGAUGUACUUUAAUUCCAGAUGCUGUUCAGUGUCUUCUAUGUGGGAGGUACUGGGUGAGAUGGAGAUCAAGUCACAUUGUCCCUAUCCUCCGAAGCCCACCAGCUCAGUGAGGAAAAGCAUCUCUACAGGUAGCCACAAUACAGAGAAGACUAGAAUAGGCCCUCCAGAGCAUAACCUUUCAUGAGCAAUUCAAGGUGGGGCAUCACUACCAGUAUUGAUUAUAUUUUUGCCCUCAACCAGUAAGUGUUAGGUUACCUAACAACUUAGGUACCGUAAGUUACCUACGGCUGACUUCUAACUCCAAGAGCCCUCUUACUCCUAAUGACCUAAGAUAUUCCUGAUUAAAUGUCCCCUGCUUUUUUUUUUUUAAUUUUAUUUAUUAUUCAUGGGAGACACAGAGAGAAAGAGGCAGAGAUACAAGGCAGAGUGAGAACCAGGCUCCCUGUAGGAAGUGUGAUGCGGGACUCGAUCCCAGGACCCCAGGAUCAUGCCCUGAUCCAAAGGCAGAUGCUCAACCAGUGAGCCACCCAGGUGCCCCCAAAUGUCCCCUGCUUUUAGAUACCUGUUGUCACUUUUUUUUUUUUAACUCUCUCUUGUACCACAGUGGGUGCUGCUUGCUUCACGAGUUUGGGGACCAUGUUAACUGCUACAUCCUACCCUCCAACCCAGUGCUGAACACAUGGAGGACUCUUGAUAAGUGUUUGCUGGAUGGCUACACUAAUAAAUGAAUGAGUAUGAGUAGACCUGCUCCUGGAAUAGCACUUCCCCUUAGAAAUGCGAUGCAGCCCACAUAAAUAAUUUUACAUUUUCUAGUAGCAGCAGCAGUAAAAAAAAAUCAUACGAAGAAAUGGGUAGAAUUAAUUUUAACAAUACAUUUUAGUUAACCUGCUAUAUAAAAACAUUAUCAUUUUAACACAUCAAUAUAAAAAGUAUUAGCGAGAUAUUUUACAACCUCUUUUUAUACCAUCUUCAGUGUCUGUAUGUAUGUAUUUUACACAUACAGAUUGUAAUCUCAGUUAAGACCAGUCACAUUUCUGGUGCUCGAUAGCCACAUGCGGCUAGUGGCUACGAUAUUGGACAGUGCAAUUCUCGAAGCUUCCAGCUUUUGCAACUUGAUGCCUCUGAGGUGUGGGCUCUGAAGAUAGUGGGAAUAAUGUCUGGAGAGAGAACGACAGAAUUCUGAGUGAGAGCCCGUGGGUUUCCCGUAAGAGGUGAAGAGGAAUGCAUAGUCAUGGGCCUCCCGACUGGGGGUUUGGACUGGCCAGCCUUGGCUUGGGUUCUCAUAUCUUCCUGAGCUAAUCCUGGCUCUUUUCUCAGUUUGGAAUUGGGGGUUUGGACUGGCCAACCUUGGCUUGGGUUCUCAUAUCUUCCUGAGCUAAUCCUGGCUCUUUUCUCAGUUCCAGAGAGUUUAGCUGUUCCUCACGUAACGGUUAUAAAUAUAGUAGUGUCAUUGCUGUACUUCUAUAAGUAAUGGCAGAAACAAAGACCCCGGACACAGGUCCUCUUAACCCUUAAACAUGGGGUUAAGAAAGAAGCAUUUUUGGGACACCUGGGUGAUUCAGCUGUUGAGCAUCUGCCUUCCGUUCAGGUCGUGAUGCUGAGGUCCUAGGAUCGAGUCCUGCAUCAGGCUCACUGCAGAGAGCCUGCUUCUCCUUCUGCCUAUCCCUCUCUCUGUGUGUCUCUCAUGAAUAAAUAAAUAAAUCUAAAAAAAAAAAAAAAGAAGGAAGCACUUUAAACAUUCCUUAAAAAAAAAAAAAA